rnacentral:rRNA from 1 species
CGCUGGCGGCGUGCCUAAUACAUGCAAGUCGAGCGAGCAGAACCAGCAGAUUUACUUCGGUAAUGACGCUGGGGACGCGAGCGGCGGAUGGGUGAGUAACACGUGGGGAACCUGCCCCAUAGUCUGGGAUACCACUUGGAAACAGGUGCUAAUACCGGAUAAUAAAGCAGAUCGCAUGAUCAGCUUAUAAAAGGCGGCGUAAGCUGUCGCUAUGGGAUGGCCCCGCGGUGCAUUAGCUAGUUGGUAAGGUAACGGCUUACCAAGGCAAUGAUGCAUAGCCGAGUUGAGAGACUGAACGGCCACAUUGGGACUGAGACACGGCCCAAACUCCUACGGGAGGCAGCAGUAGGGAAUCUUCCACAAUGGACGCAAGUCUGAUGGAGCAACGCCGCGUGAGUGAAGAAGGUUUUCGGAUCGUAAAGCUCUGUUGUUGGUGAAGAAGGAUAGAGGUAGUAACUGGCCUUUAUUUGACGGUAAUCAACCAGAAAGUCACGGCUAACUACGUGCCAGCAGCCGCGGUAAUACGUAGGUGGCAAGCGUUGUCCGGAUUUAUUGGGCGUAAAGCGAGCGCAGGCGGAAGAAUAAGUCUGAUGUGAAAGCCCUCGGCUUAACCGAGGAAUUGCAUCGGAAACUGUUUUUCUUGAGUGCAGAAGAGGAGAGUGGAACUCCAUGUGUAGCGGUGGAAUGCGUAGAUAUAUGGAAGAACACCAGUGGCGAAGGCGGCUCUCUGGUCUGCAACUGACGCUGAGGCUCGAAAGCAUGGGUAGCGAACAGGAUUAGAUACCCUGGUAGUCCAUGCCGUAAACGAUGAGUGCUAAGUGUUGGGAGGUUUCCGCCUCUCAGUGCUGCAGCUAACGCAUUAAGCACUCCGCCUGGGGAGUACGACCGCAAGGUUGAAACUCAAAGGAAUUGACGGGGGCCCGCACAAGCGGUGGAGCAUGUGGUUUAAUUCGAAGCAACGCGAAGAACCUUACCAGGUCUUGACAUCUAGUGCCAUCCUAAGAGAUUAGGAGUUCCCUUCGGGGACGCUAAGACAGGUGGUGCAUGGCUGUCGUCAGCUCGUGUCGUGAGAUGUUGGGUUAAGUCCCGCAACGAGCGCAACCCUUAUUAUUAGUUGCCAGCAUUAAGUUGGGCACUCUAAUGAGACUGCCGGUGACAAACCGGAGGAAGGUGGGGAUGACGUCAAGUCAUCAUGCCCCUUAUGACCUGGGCUACACACGUGCUACAAUGGGCAGUACAACGAGAAGCGAGCCUGCGAAGGCAAGCGAAUCUCUGAAAGCUGUUCUCAGUUCGGACUGCAGUCUGCAACUCGACUGCACGAAGCUGGAAUCGCUAGUAAUCGCGGAUCAGAACGCCGCGGUGAAUACGUUCCCGGGCCUUGUACACACCGCCCGUCACACCAUGGAAGUCUGCAAUGCCCAAAGCCGGUGGCCUAACCUUCGGGAAGGAACCGUCUAAGGCAGGGC